GUUUGCUUAAGACAGUGGACGCAUUGCAAAUGGCGGCAGGAGAGAUCGGCUACAUCGGUGCACGUGGGACUGUAUCAACUUCAAGGACGUAGUUUCCUGUCUCAACGGUCACAUACACGCGUGCAAAACUGUAACUGCUUCGCAUCGAAGUGUGUAUGGUGCCACUAGCUUGGACAAUUGUUCAUCGGCCAUUUCGUUUGAGGAACUGUCGUGUUCGUCACUAAGAAUGAUCUUGGUUGAGCUGUGCAGUGCCUGUUCGGAGUUCCGAGGACUGUGUGUUCGAUGUUUGGAGUACUGCCUGGUUCAUCGGAGGUUGUCUGUCCAUGCAACAUGUGCUCCAUAUGUGUGUGUUGGGAUUAGUGAACCGUGUAUGCUUUCCAUUCGGCCAACGAUGAUGUACGGGAUUCAAUUUAAAGGUAUGUGCACGGCAAUAAAAUUUGGUGUUUCAA